CGGGUGAGUAACACGUGAGUAACCUGCCCUUGACUUUGGGAUAACUCCAGGAAACUGGGGCUAAUACCGGAUAGGAGCUCCUGCUGCAUGGUGGGGGUUGGAAAGUUUCGGCGGUUGGGGAUGGACUCGCGGCUUAUCAGCUUGUUGGUGGGGUAGUGGCUUACCAAGGCGGCGACGGGUAGCCGGCCUGAGAGGGUGGACGGCCACAUUGGGACUGAGAUACGGCCCAG
rnacentral:rRNA from 1 species